rnacentral:rRNA from 1 species
CCUUAGUUACCAGCACGUUAUGGUGGGCACGUCUAAGGAGACUGCCGGUGACAAACCGGAGGAAGGUGGGGAUGACGUCAAGUCAUCAUGGCCCUUACGGCCUGGGCUACACACGUGCUACAAUGGUCGGUACAAAGGGUUGCCAAGCGCGAGGUGGAGCUAAUCCCAUAAACCGAUCGUAGUCCGGAUCGCAGUCUGCAACUCGACUGCGUGAAGUCGGAAUCGCUAGUAAUCGUGAAUCAGAAUGUCACGGUGAAUACGUUCCCGGGCCUU